UAGGGAAUCUUCGGCAAUGGACGAAAGUCUGACCGAGCAACGCCGCGUGAGUGAAGAAGGUUUUCGGAUCGUAAAACUCUGUUGUUAGAGAAGAACAAGGACGUUAGUAACUGAACGUCCCCUGACGGUAUCUAACCAGAAAGCCACGGCUAACUACGUGCCAGCAGCCGCGGUAAUACGUAGGUGGCAAGCGUUGUCCGGAUUUAUUGGGCGUAAAGCGAGCGCAGGCGGUUUCUUAAGUCUGAUGUGAAAGCCCCCGGCUCAACCGGGGAGGGUCAUUGGGAACUGGUAGACUUGAGUGCAGAAGAGGAGAGUGGAAUUCCAUGUGUAGCGGUGAAAUGCGUAGAUAUAUGGAGGAACACCAGUGGCGAAGGCGGCUCUCUGGUCUGUAACUGACGCUGAGGCUCGAAAGCGUGGGGAGCAAACAGG
rnacentral:rRNA from 1 species